GACGAACGUUGGCGGCGUGCUUAACACAUGCAAGUCGAACGGAAAGGCCCUGCUUUUGUGGGGUGCUCGAGUGGCGAACGGGUGAGUAACACGUGAGUAACCUGCCCUUGACUUUGGGAUAACUUCAGGAAACUGGGGCUAAUACCGGAUAGGAGCUCCUGCUGCAUGGUGGGGGUUGGAAAGUUUCGGCGGUUGGGGAUGGACUCGCGGCUUAUCAGCUUGUUGGUGGGGUAGUGGCUUACCAAGGCUUUGACGGGUAGCCGGCCUGAGAGGGUGACCGGCCACAUUGGGACUGAGAUACGGCCCAGACUCCUACGGGAGGCAGCAGUGGGGAAUAUUGCACAAUGGGCGGAAGCCUGAUGCAGCAACGCCGCGUGCGGGAUGACGGCCUUCGGGUUGUAAACCGCUUUCGCCUGUGACGAAGCGUGAGUGACGGUAAUGGGUAAAGAAGCACCGGCUAACUACGUGCCAGCAGCCGCGGUGAUACGUAGGGUGCGAGCGUUGUCCGGAUUUAUUGGGCAUAAAGGGCUCGUAGGUGGUUGAUCGCGUCGGAAGUGUAAUCUUGGGGCUUAACCCUGAGCGUGCUUUCGAUACGGGUUGACUUGAGGAAGGUAGGGGAGAAUGGAAUUCCUGGUGGAGCGGUGGAAUGCGCAGAUAUCAGGAGGAACACCAGUGGCGAAGGCGGUUCUCUGGGCCUUUCCUGACGCUGAGGAGCGAAAGCGUGGGGAGCGAACAGGCUUAGAUACCCUGGUAGUCCACGCUGUAAACGGUGGGUACUAGGUGUGGGGUCCAUUCCACGGGUUCCGUGCCGUAGCUAACGCUUUAAGUACCCCGCCUGGGGAGUACGGCCGCAAGGCUAAAACUCAAAGGAAUUGACGGGGCCCCGCACAAGCGGCGGAGCAUGCGGAUUAAUUCGAUGCAACGCGUAGAACCUUACCUGGGUUUGACAUGGAUCGGGAGUGCUCAGAGAUGGGUGUGCCUCUUUUGGGGUCGGUUCACAGGUGGUGCAUGCCUGUCGUCAGCUCGUGUCGUGAGAUGUUGGGUUAAGUCCCGCAACGAGCGCAACCCUUGUUCACUGUUGCCAGCACGUUAUGGUGGGGACUCAGUGGAGACCGCCGGGGUCAACUCGGAGGAAGGUGGGGAUGACGUCAAGUCCUCAUGCCCCUUAUGUCCAGGGCUUCACGCAUGCUACAAUGGCUGGUACAGAGAGUGGCGAGCCUGUGAGGGUGAGCGAAUCUCGGAAAGCCGGUCUCAGUUCGGAUUGGGGUCUGCAACUCGACCUCAUGAAGUCGGAGUCGCUAGUAAUCGCAGAUCAGCAACGCUGCGGUGAAUACGUUCCCGGG
rnacentral:rRNA from 1 species